GAGGGUCCUGAGUUUCCGGAAUAACAUACUUUUCAUGAAUGGAUUCUCACAAGGUCUUUCUAUAAUCGCCUAACAUAUACUAGUCAUGUAUAAUUUAGGUGGGGAGGACUGUUGACUGAGCCACUCCGCUUUAAAUCCACAACUAAACAAGGAACAAGAAAUGAGGCAGCAUCACUCACUCUAGGUCUAUCUAUCUUAAUUGUACAUGGCUUUGAUGUAUAUGUGGAGCCAUUAUAGCUCUACCUGAUGAAAAUUUUGAAUUCUUACAACAGUGCUGCGACUUUCACCUUAACGGAAGAGUAAUUACUUUUAGAAUUAACCUUUUAAUGUUUUCGGUUAAUGUUUUCGGUUAGUUAUCUGAGAUUGAGAGACGUACCAAACUUUUACCGGGUUCAUUGACGCUUCUUCCUAGGCAUUAGAGUUAGACUCCUCCUGCGCCAUUGUCGUUCCUUUCAGUUGGGCAGUCCCGCUUGAGAUGCCCAAUCUCACCACAUAGAUGGCAAAUUGGAUUGAUCGCCACAUCGAUGGUUGGUGUAAUGAACUCAAUCAGGGUUCUGCAGAUGCGAGCGGUAUGCCCCCUUCAUGUUGCAUCUGGUACAACAGAGUUCCCGGCAUAUUCCAUGAUGAUGGUAGCUACACUUGCUGCAGUGGGGAAGGUUUCCUAGGUAUGGUCUACUAGGUGGCGGGAUGGAAGGGAUGGCAAGGGUAUUGACUGACUCAGCUUGUUGCCCUUCGGAGGAUCAUUGAGCCGUGGUACUUCCCUCCUUGUUCUUAAACUUUCUCUUUAGUGGAGUUGGCUGAGGUUCUUGGGGGGCUAGGUACGUAGGAGUUGGUUUCUGCUGUACAUUGUUAGGAUCAGGAAUCCCGAUAGGGCUCUUGCUAACAUUGGCGUUGUUAGCAUUCAGAUGAGCCAUGACAGCUGCUACGACUGCUGAGACUGCAACUUGGAACGUAGCUUCAUCGAAUAGGAGAGUCGGGUUCUUGCCAGCGGACUGGUUACGCUUCUUCGGAGGCAUGGUUUUCCUACACGGAAAGGAACAUAAGCUGAUGAGAGACGAUGGUUAACCCUGGACGUAUCUAUCCUCAGUAUAAUAGGUAUAAUUUUUCCUGCGCCACGGAUAUUGGUUAUGUGAGUGUCGACCUACAUUCCUAUGAUGCAGUUCGUGAAUUCAAGGUAGGAGUAAGGGUAUCAGAAAGCCAUAAGAUGGGUGUCGUUCCUACAAAGUUAUCUUUAUACUGGAAAAGUUCACUCUCCGGCUUGGAAAGAUUUGAGGGAAGUUCGGAACGAGGAUCACGAAAGAAAAGGGCUCGUGCAAACUUAUGGCUAAACACUCUCAAUAAAGGUGUGGGGAUCCGCUCUAAUCAUAUUACUUGCGGCGGGAAAAGGUGAUUUACCUAACACAUAAUGUGAGUAGCGUAAUCACUAACUCACUAAAUUUUAUUAUUUUAUGGGUGUAUUAGCACGAAUAUAACGAGGAAAAGACACUCCUCGGGUUCCAUGUACUAGCUCCCUCUAUCUACCUCUUAUCCUUGACUGGGGUCGGCGUUGGUUUUCUUCGGGUAGUUACCUAGGGUUCUCUUCUCAUGUAGACAUAUUGAACUUCUACUCCGUCUUUAUAGGAUGUAUAUCUUUUAUGAAUUGAUAUACUGAGCUCACUAUAAACAAUGCUCUGAUACCAAUCUGUCACACCCCAAAACCGGAACGGCGGAAACGUUCUGGGGUGGAUGACGUGAUGUCAAGUAUCACAACAUAUGCAGUAUAGUAAUCAAAGUACAACAACCAUGGCAUUAAUAGUAAUAUUUUACAUAGUUUACAUUUCAUAGUGACAUCAAAGUAAUACAGAAACUAAAAUAGUUGCAGCUUGGUUCUAGGUUGGCUUUACAAAAGCUCCCAGGUGUACCUGUCUAUUGUUGACCUGAAAAUACAAGUUAUUUUGAAAGCGAGUAUCAGCAUUUUUAUAAAUGCUGGUGAGUUCAUAAGUAUUUAGUGUCAUUUGUGUAAAUAAGCAUUUUAUUUAAAAUAACUUUAUGAAAAGUAGUAAUUUAGAAUCUACAGUGUAUUGGCGUCCUUUCGAGAAAAUCCUAUAUUUUCUAAAUAAAAGCAGUCUUCUACCAAGACUCGACAGAGUUAUGUUUAAACAGUAAUUUUCCCUUAGAUGUUAUCGUUACCAAAGUUCGGUAUUUGCUUUUAAAGAAAGUAGGAGAAUAUCAAUACUAGGGAAAAAUAACAUAUGCCUUAGUAGUUAUACUGCCGACUAAGGAAAAAGAAAUCAUAGACUCCAGGAGAGUAUUGAAUGAACGAUACACCUGGCUUAGUCUAACAAAGGGAAACACAGACCCCAGAUGGUAUCAAAUGAACGAUACGGCUAGCAAGGUCUAAAACAAAGAAACGCAGACCCCAGACAGUAUCAAAUGAAUGAUACAACUAGCAAGGUCUAAAACAUGGAAUUAAUCCUAAGAGUGUUGUUUCAAGAAUACGGUGUUAAAUUCUCGUUACCUUAUGGCUAUGAAUUAUAAGGUAAACAUGGAGAUACUCGUAACCAUACUAAUUGACACUAGAGUACCUAACGCCCUGCAAGCGUCAUAAUAAUGUGACAUUUGUCACCCCUUAGCUUGGGAGGUCGUGGACUGUAGCUAGCAGUCAGGGUGCGGGAGUGUCAGUCUCGUAUAGAUCUAUACACACAAUGCCUGCUCUCCCUACAGGAGACUCUGGUUACCAACUGGACCACGGGGAAAUCCGUGUCCUGAAGAUGCAUCUCGUAUACUGAAUUCUAUUAGAGGCGCUGGGGAAAUGAUAUAGACUCCCGAAUGAACUGACUCCUUUGGAAUUCUCGUACUAGAAAGAGUAAAUAGAACCUCCUAACUAUUCCUAUAAUAGUUACUAGUGUCACUGAAUCUAUGAAUGAUGAAUGGAAGGAUGCCCUUGCUACCCAAGGGAAAUGAACUGGUCGAUGUAAACCUUAAUGUCUAUACGUGUAUUCAUGAUAUAUAACUAAUGUUUAAACGACCUUCGGAUGGAUAUCCCAUGCCCACCAGACCACAUCCAAUCAAGGAAAAGGAAAUAGGGCGAACUAGCCUUCCUAAGUCCUUUAAACAUUAUUUAUAUAACUAUACAAAUAUAGACAUGCAUUUAACGAAAUAAAAGCAUAGAAGGAUACGAAGUAAAAGCGUAGAGGGAUACUUUGACAACUCUUUUGGAAAACCUUUAACAAGAAAUUGCGACUUGAUGUCAUUCUAUAAAUAAACUUUGAAAACCUAAGGAAAAUCUUUGAAAAACCUUUGGAAAACCUUUCAAAUACUUAUGAUAAUUUUUAAAGAGAUAUUCAUACUUUAACAAGAAUUGAAAGCGAGAUUGGGAAAACCUUUUGUUAGAUGAAACAGCUUAACAUGUAAAAUCCAUUUGCUAUACAGUUAUUAAUCACAUGAGAUUUAUUAAUAACUGUCCAGUUCAACUUGUAUUCCCCCCUAUAAAAGCAGUUAAAACCAUUUAAAAGGUUAAUUCAACGGUAUGAACUCACCUGUUGUAAGUGGAUCGGACGGAGGUGUCGGUAGGGUGCUCGGUGUCAAGUGAAGACUUGAACCCACUUAAUGACCUAAUAACAUAUGAUGACAUAUUUUUACAUACAAUUAGUGUUUAUAAUACUAAUUAAACAUGUAUAAGCAUCCUAAUGUACAGAAAACACUUUGGUCAAGUACUAGGAGGCUAUUGGGUUGCAAUAAGGGAGUGUAUGGCAUAGCUAGGGAGUUUACUCUUCAAGAGUAAACUCUUUAUAGAGUUUACGGCCCUAAGACCAUAUCCCCAUGAGUUUACGGCCGUAAACUCAUAGGUGGUGUUUUCUUGGAUGUUUUAAGGUCUUAAAUGAAAGGGUAUAAAGUUCUAUGCAUUUUUCCAAGCCAUAUAGGGAAGUUAGGGCAUCAUUUGGCCUCUUUAAGGGAGUUUACGGCCCAUGGACCAAUCCUUGGGGGGUUUACGGCCGUAAACUCCAAUGCCCAUAGUUUCUUUAAUGUUUAAAGCUAAAACUUCAAUUGUGGUUGAUUCUAGACAUCUACCCGAGCCAUAGGAGGUGUUUGAGGGCAAUUCUAACACCUUAAAAGGUGUUCACGGCCCUUAAAGAGGGGUUUACGGUCCAAGAGUGAUCUUGGGCCAUAAACUCAUGUUUACUCCUCAAAAUACAAGGUUUUGGUGUUCUACGCUCGAAGGUGUAAGUCCACAAGUCAUAUCUAAGCCCUAGGAGUGAUUUGGAAGGGUUUUAGGGCUUCAAAACCCCACUUAUGGGUGUUUACGGUCCAGUACUAUUCUUGGGCUGUAAACACAUGAUCUGGUCCCUAUUUGAUGUCUUAAACAUGAAUUCGCAUGUUAAAUGAGCUAAACAACAAGUUAGGGUAGAUUACUUACUAGUUUGGGGCUCGAAAUGGGCGGUUUUUGGAUCGAAAGCAACUUGUAGAGAGAGAGUGUAGAGAGAGAGUGAAAAGNAAGAGAGAGAGUGAAAAGGGUGUAAAUGGAGUCCACUCCCCAUUAUAUAGGGGUUGAGCUUGUGGCUCUAUGGAAAUCUACCCAAUACUGACGUUAAACGGGGCUUUUGGUCGCACCCGAUUAAAUGGUCGUAUUUUGACUUGACUGAAACUAAAAUUUUACAAGGGAAAAUUGAGGGUGUUUCUAAGUUGUUCCAACCCUUAUGAAGUCAUAAUAAAGUCCCAAUUUAAUUAACCUAAUCCAAAAAGGUUAACGGACCAUUUAAUAAAUCGAGUCUUAUUAACGUAAACGAGGAUAAAAUGACGGGGUAAAUUUCGGGUUGUCACCUCAUCCCCCCGUUAGAGGGAAUUUCGUCCCGAAAUUAGAGUUUAGGCAGGGAAGUAGGUAUGAACAAUCGAGUAAAGAGAUGCGGGUACUUCCUGUUCGUUUGGUCCUCGUGCUCCCAAGUGAACUCCGGUCUUCGCCUGGCCUUCCAGCGAACCUUCACUUAACGGGAUGCGGAUUUCGAUUCGUCCAGUUAGGGAUUUCUACGGUUCGUCUACGAAGUUAGGGUUCCCAAUGGUUUCUAUCGAGAUGAGUGGGAUACAAAGAGUGAUGUCGGACAAACACUUUUCAAGUCUAAGAAGUGAAUUGAUUUGGGGUGAAUCUUAUGGAAUUUCCAAAAGUAGUCGUAGUCUGACGAGGGUUUGACAAAUUUUGUAAAGAAUCUGGGAUGGUCCUAAGCGUGAAUGGAUGGUCGUAGUCAACGUCCUUGCCUCUUACGAACCAGAUUUCUUCCCCAAUUGAGGGUGUUAGCUACUAUCUUGGCUUAACCGGGAUGACAACAAAUUUCGGAUUUCUGGUCAUUACAGUAGCUCAACCCGCAGUGGUUCUCUUGACUCUAGUUUCUAUUCUAUGGGAUAGGGUGAAGGGUUUUACUAUGAGGUUCGUGGUGGAGCUCAUACUUGGCUUAACCACUAAUACUUGGUGUACGCAAGUCGUAUAUAAUUGAGGUCGACGGGAUGUUCAGUUGUGCGACUCCAGCCCAAACCCACAACACAACGAGGAACAGGGAGUAGGGAGGAACCACACAUCUUAAAUCUUUUUUAUCUCAAUUAUAUACCACCCUUAUGCAUGUACUCAUUUAUAGUAGUCAGUCCCAUGAAUCCCUUCCUCUUGAUUCACGAACCUAAUUGUGAGGUGCUAAGGGUCAUUCUGGGGGAUCUAUGGAGUAAGCUUCGGGUGGUUAACGUCUUCUAAAUUACCUAUAGUGUCUUUCACUUCGGGUUCUAUUUGUCUAAGGAAGAGUUGGUUAACAGCGCAUGAUAUCCUACUCAGGGGUAUUUCGGAAGGUUUUAGAUAAGAGAGACGACUGACGGCUUGCGUUAUGUUUACAUAUUAGGUUCGGAAGGACCUUUAUUUGAUGUUUUAGGAUACAGCGAAAUUCUCUUUACGCAGCACUAGGAAUUUACACAUGGUUGCACCAAGUCGAACCAUGAUUAAUAAAGUCGUCGAAGUUGGCAUACAUCGACACGAUAUAGAAUGAGAGUUGAUAAGGUCAUGUGUUGAACGGGCACACAAGUUCUAGGUGUAUAUCACUGUCGUGGAUACUUGGACUAAUAGAGUCGAUGCGGAACUGUAGAGGGUCCUGAGUUUCCGGAAUAACGUACUUUUCAUGAAUGGAUUCUCACAAGGUCUUUCUAUAAUCGCCUAACAUAUACUAGUCAUGUAUAAUUUAGGUGGGGAGGACUGUUGACUGAGCCACUCCGCCUUAAAUCCACAACUAAACAAGGAACAAGAAAUGAGGCAGCAUCACUCACUCUAGGUCUAUCUAUCUUAAUUGUACAUGGCUUUGAUGUAUAUGUCGAGCCAUUAUAGCUCUACCUGAUGAAAAUUUUGAAUUCUUACAACAGUGCUGCGACUUUCACCUUAACGGAAGAGUAAUUACUUUUAGAAUUAACCUUUUAAUGUUUUCGGUUAGUUAUCUGAGAUUGAGAGACGUACCAAACUUUUACCGGGUUCAUUGACGCUUCUUCCUAGGCAUUAGAGUUAGAC
rnacentral:lncRNA from 1 species